rnacentral:sRNA from 1 species
GGUACAUGAAUUUUUAGACAAUUCUUUCAAUUCAAACAAUUUGACUUACAUACCAUUCAGGAGAGGAGCGUAAUACUAUGUCAUUCACAAAUGGAACAGCCCAACAACAACAAAAUAUCAUUAUUUUAUUAUUACGCUCAGGACUGGAGUAUUAGUAAAUUUUCUUACUAAUCACUUAAGUCCUAUUUCUACUUGAAUGGGACUUAAACG